rnacentral:snoRNA from 1 species
GACAGUGAUGUAAUAAUCCUAUUCCAUUGCUGAGAACUCACAAUGUGGAAAUUUUCUGACUGAUGUU